GACGAACGCUGGCGGCGUGCUUAACACAUGCAAGUCGAACGGAAAGGCCCUGCUUUUGUGGGGCGCUCGAGUGGCGAACGGGUGAGUAACACGUGAGUAACCUGCCCUUGACUUUGGGAUAACUUCAGGAAACUGGGGCUAAUACCGGAUAGGAGCUCCUGCUGCAUGGUGGGGGUUGGAAAGUUUCGGCGGUUGGGGAUGGACUCGCGGCUUAUCAGCUUGUUGGUGGGGUAGUGGCUUACCAAGGCUUUGACGGGUAGCCGGCCUGAGAGGGUGACCGGCCACAUGGGGACUGAGAUACGGCCCAGACUCCUACGGGAGGCAGCAGUGGGGAAUAUUGCACAAUGGGCGGAAGCCUGAUGCAGCAACGCCGCGUGCGGGAUGACGGCCUUCGGUUGUAAACCGCUUUCGCCUGUGACGAAGCGUGAGUGACGGUAAUGGGUAAAGAAGCACCGGCUAACUACGUG
rnacentral:rRNA from 1 species